rnacentral:lncRNA from 12 species
UGGCAAGGGCUGAGGGGGUGUGCUCCCCGAUUUUCGGCACCGGUGCCACUUGGCAAAGCCAGCCCUGUCCUUCUUGUACUGGGCACAGCGCUCAGCCAGCCCGUCCAGCCCUUGGGGGGUUGUCUCGCCAUUUGUUCCUGCCAGGGGUACGACACCUUUGGCCACCUUGAUGCCUACACCACCACCUUGGAUUUGAUAACUUGGGGGAAGGGACGCCCAUCGUCGGUCUUCUGGUACAGUGUCUGGUGGAAGAGGCUGACGCCCCCAGUGCAGGGGUUUACACCGUGGUGGGCGGUCAGCAGCAGCUGGCGGUGGAAGCGCGGCCUCCCCUCCGGGUUCUCAGGCCCAUGGACCGCAGCCGCUUGGCGAUGCUCCCAGUGGGCUCAUCUGCAGCCAGGACGCCCUUGGCGGAGCCACGAUGCCGUGAGCGAUGUCAGAAAGCUCCUUCUCCUGCUCCGGGGUCAGCGCUGGCCAUCGAUUGCAAGCCUGCUGGAAGUAGAGAUUUCAUCUUUCCAGGUGUAUCUUUUUUCUGGAGACAUCUUUAUCAAGUUUGGCAGUUUCUGGACAACUCAUCUCAGUAAUGGGUUGGUUUUACAAAAGACUAGAAGCAAAAUAAACUUCCAAUAUUAUCAUAUCUUCAAGAAUGACCAAGUAAAAUGUGUUAAUCUAAAUAGUCUUUGUGAGCUGUUUUGUUUAACUCUUUACAUCAGUGGUACUUUGAUAGUUUCAUAAUGUAGACAUGACUAAGAUCCAAUGGCAAGUGAUACAAGUAUUUUAUUACUAUUUUUUAAAAAAUAUUUUAUUUACUUAUUUGAGAGAGAGAGAGAGAGAGAGUGAGAGAGAAAGCACAAGAGCAGGAGCAGAGGGAGAGGGAGAAGCAGACUCCCUGCUGAGCAGAGAGCCCAAUGUGGGGCUCAAUCCCAGGAUCCUGAGAUCUUGUCCUGAGCCAAAGGCAGACUGAGCCACCCAAAUGCCCUGAGUAUUUCAUUCCUAUUAAGAAAGUUCUGGAACCUACGGAUAACUUCUUUUUACGAACUAGAGCACAUUCAACGUAAUUUGUGUAAUAACAUGAAUCUUACUCAUUUGCUUUCUGAGUGGGAGAAGUGAGUGGUGAGUGGUGUUAGAGCCUAACCUUUGGUUACAGCAAUGCUGUCCACAGAAAUAUACAGUGAGCUACAGCUGUCAUUUUAAGUUUUGUAGUAGACACUUUAUUUUUUAAUUUUUUUAAAGGAUUUUAUUUAUGUAUUCAUGAGAGAGACAGAGAGACAGGCAGAGACACAGGCUGAGGGAGAAGCAGGCUCCAUGCCUGGAGUGGGACUUGAUCCUGGGACUCCGGGAUCCUGUAUUGAGGCAAAGGCAGAUGCUCAACCGCUCUGAACCACUCACAUGUACCAUAUAGUAGCCACUUUAAAAAGUAAAAAGGGGGAUGCCUGGGUGGCUGAGUGGUUGAGUGUCUGCCUUGGGCUCAGGGCGUGAUCCUGGAAUCCUGGAAUCAAGUCACACAUCGGGCUUCCUGCCUGGAGCCUGCUUCUCCCUCUGCCUAUGUCUCUGUCUCUCUUUCUGUGUGUGUCUCAUGAAUAAAUAAAUAAAAAUAUUUUUUUAAAAAGUAAAA